rnacentral:lncRNA from 1 species
GUGGCAUCUUUUUGAACUCCCUCGACCGUCCAAACUUCCAUAAUACCAUCUGGACUUCUCUGAUAAUGAGUUCCUCCAUUCAUCUAUCGAGCUGCUCCAAACGCUUUCUGAGCUUCACUAUCAGCCAAUUUUCUAUAAUGAUCGACUAUUCUCCGAACCUCUUCCAAACUUCUUACAGCCACGAAUAACUUUAUUUCGAACUUCUUUUGGACUCCAUCAAUGUCUGAGCUUUUCCAACAGCAGGACUUCUACAGUAACCUGAUUCCAUCUAAGUUUCUACGACAGUCGACCACCUUCCGAAUUUCAUCCGAGCUCCUACGAGAGCUGGAUCCCAGCCGAACUUCUACAGCGAAUGAAUUUCAGAUGAACUUCUACAAC